rnacentral:sRNA from 1 species
CGGUCCGGGCUUGAGUAUUUGUCCGGCUGUGGUAGUGUCGGGCUUGCGUCGAUGACGUCAAAAGCAUUCACAAACCCCGCCCUUGGGCGGGGUUUUGCUUUAUC